AACAUGUCUUUUUGAUAAUAAUUUAAAGUCUAACCUGCCCACUGAUAAUUUUUGAAGGGCCGCGGUAUAUUGACUGUGCAAAGGUAGCAUAAUCAUUAGUCUUUUAAUUGAAGGCUUGUAUGAAUGGUUGGAUGAGGUAUUAACUGUCUCAAUUUAAUAAAUAAAAGAAUUUUAUUUUUAAGUUAAAAAGCUUAAAUAAUUUUAAAAGACGAGAAGACCCUAUAGAUCUUUAUAUUUAAAUUUUUUAAUAAUUUUUUAGUUAAGAUUUAUUUUUAGAAAGAAAAGUAUUGAGUUGGGGUGAUUAAAAAAUUUAAUAAACUUUUUUUAUAUUUUAACAAUGAUUUUUGAAUAAUUGAUCCAUUUUUUGUGAUUAAAAGAUUAAGUUACCUUAGGGAUAACAGCGUAAUUUUUUUGGAGAGUUCAUAUCGAUAAAAAAGAUUGCGACCUCGAUGUUGAAUUAAAGGUUAAUUUUAGGUGUAGAAGUUUAAAAUUUUGGUC
rnacentral:rRNA from 1 species